AACGAACGCUGGCGGCAUGCCUAACACAUGCAAGUCGAACGAGACCUUCGGGUCUAGUUGCGCACGGGUGCGUAACGCGUGGGAACCUGCCCUUAGGUUCGGAAUAACUCCCCUAAGGGGGGGCUAAUACCGGAUAAUUUCUUCUAACCAAGGAUUUAUCGCCUUUGGGUGGGCCCGCGUUGGUUUAGCUAGUUGGUAGGGUAAAAGCCGACCAAGGCGACGAUCCAUAGCUGGUCUGAGAGGAUGAUCAGCAACACUGGGACUGAGACACGGCCCAGACUCGUACGGGAGGCAGCAGGGGGGAAUAUGGGAAACUGGGCGAAAGCCUGAUCCAGUAAUGCCGCGUGAGUGAUGAAGGGCGUAGGUUUGUAAAGCUCUUUUAACCGCGAUGAUAAUGAGAGUACCGGGAGAAGAAGCUCCGGCAAACUCCGU
rnacentral:rRNA from 1 species